rnacentral:rRNA from 1 species
GUAGUCUCGCACAGAUGCAUAUCAAUAAGCGGAGGAAAAGAAACUAACAAGGAUUCCCUCAGUAACGGCGAGUGAAGCGGGAAGAGCUCAAAUUUGAAAUCUUGAAAGGUCACCUUUCACGAAUUGUAGUUUAAAGAAGUGUUUUCUGUUACGAUCGUAAUAUAAGUUCUUUGGAAUAGGACAUCACAGAGGGUGAGAGUCCCGUCUAUGAUUGCGAUUUGUAGCUUUGUGAUACACUUUCAAAGAGUCGGGUUGUUUGGGAAUGCAGCCCAAAACGGGAGGUAAAUUUCUUCUAAGGCUAAAUAUUGGCGAGAGACCGAUAGCGAACAAGUACCGUGAGGGAAAGAUGAAAAGAACUUUGAAAAGAGAGUUAAAUAGUACGUGAAAUUGUCAAAAGGGAAGCGUUUAACACCAGUGUUGUUUUCUGAAAAUCAACCUCUGUUAGCUUUAUGCAUGUUUGUUUAGACCUAAUCAGCUAUCUUUCAUGUUCUAUUGUUUGCAGUGGUGCACUUUUCAGUUUACAGGUCAACAUCAGUUUUUUUUACCGUAAAAAAGUUAAAGAAAGGUAGCUCAUGGCUCCGGUCGUGAGUGUUAUAGUCUUUUUCCUAUGCGGUAGGAGAGACUGAGGUCUGCAGUGUAGGCUAUUUGGCUAGAUACUCAGGUGCUAUGUGAUACCAUUUCAUAAACAACUUGUUGAUUAUGUUUUGUCUAUUGCAUACUCGCUUGUACUAUCAUACCUACGCUUAGGAUGUUGAGUCGUAGAGCACGCAG